rnacentral:lncRNA from 10 species
CAAAACAAGGUGGAUGCAGGUGAUGUGGUUCUGGCCAAGUGGAACUCUGUUACCAAACCAGUGGGGACAGCACAAGCCACAUUUGUGACUCCUAUUUUUCCUGUGGGUGGGGAACCAAAAGAGAACCAGAAAAAAAACCCAGCUGGAUAUGCCCAGGGCCAUGGUCUGCUGACCCCGCCCUUGCCACGCCCUCUCAUCGCCUUCCUGGCUGCUGCCCGAGGACCACCAGGCCAGCCUCGGGGCUCUCAACCCCUCUUCCCACAUGCCUUGGGGCCCGGCCCUGAGGGUGCCCUCCUUGAGCACAUGCAGACCCGCCUCUGUCUCCCUGCUGCAGUGUUGUUGGGGGCUUUGACGUACUGACAGCCAUGGAGAAUGUGGAGAGUGACCCCAAAACUGACCGCCCUAAGGAGGAGAUCCGCAUCGAUGCCACUACAGUGUUCGUGGACCCCUAUGAGGAGGCUGAUGCCCAGGUGAGGGGGCACGAUGCCACCACCAGGAGGGUCUGGGCCAGCGCACCUUCCCACCCCAAGCCUAGCAUCUGUCCUGCCCGAGGUGCUGCUGGUCAGCCUCCACCCUCUUGUGCCACAGAUCGCCCAGGAGCGGAAGACACAGCUCGAGGCAGCCCCGGAGACCAAAGUGAAGAGCAGCCAGCCCGAGGCAGGGAGCCAGGGCCCCCAGACCUUCCGCCAGGGCGUGGGCAAGUACAUCAACCCAGCAGCCACGUGAGUGCCGCGCGGUUGGCCUCUCUGUUUCCCAUGGUGUUUCCUAGGGCUGACUGA